AAAAAUUUGGGGAGUAGCCAUGCGAGUUGAUGGGAUACCUAAACUUCCCAUAGCAAACUGCUUAGUAACACAUGAUCAACUUGCCCUAUGGAGAAAAAUAACCUCGGGAAACUGAGGAUAAUGUUUCAUAGUUGAAUAGGCUUGGAAAAGUUUUUCAAUGAAAGGGAUAAGAUAAAUGGCUCUUAUUUGCCAUAGGAUAGGAUCGUGCUCGAUUAUGGUAGUUGGUGAGGUAACGGCUCACCAAGCCGAUAAUCGAUAGGGGCCGUGAGAGCGGGAGCCCCAAGAUGGGUACUGAGACAGCGACCCAGGCCUUACGAGGCGCAGCAGGCGCGAAACCUCCGCAAUACACGAAAGUGUGACGGGGUUACCCAAAGUGUUCUCUUUAGAACUGUGGUAGGUGAGUAAUCUCCCCUACUAGAAAGGAGAGGGCAAGGCUGGUGCCAGCCGCCGCGGUAAAACCAGCUCUUCAAGUGGUCGGGAUAAUUAUUGGGCUUAAAGUGUCCGUAGCCGGUUUAGUUAGUUCCUGGUAAAAUCGGGUAGCUUAACUAUCUGCAUGCUAGGAAUACUGCUAUACUAGAGGGCGGGAGAAGUCUGAGGUACUACAGGGGUAGGGGUGAAAUCUUAUAAUCCUUGUAGGACCACCAGUGGCGAAGGCGUCAGACUGGAACGUGCCUGACGGUGAGGGACGAAAGCCAGGGGAGCGAACCGGAUUAGAUACGUCGGUGCUAGAAUAAUAAAAUAACUAACACCAUGCUAAAAACCCGGGUAGUCCUGGCCGUAAACGAUGCAUACUAGGUGAUGGUACGGCCAUGAGCCGUAUCAGUGCCGUAGGGAAACCGUUAAGUGUGCCGCCUGGGAAGUACGGUCGCAAGGCUAAAACUUAAAGGAAUUGGCGGGGGAGCACCACAAGGGGUGAAGCCUGCGGUUCAAUUGGAUUCAACGCCGGG
rnacentral:rRNA from 1 species